AGCUUGUCUGUGAUGUUUCUUAUUAAAAAUGUCUGGACAUGUAUAAACUCUAUAGUCAUUUCAGUACAUUACUGAGAGAAGCU